UACAGAGGGGGCAAGCGUUAUUCGGAAUUAUUGGGCGUAAAGGGCGCGUAGGCGGCUUGGCAAGUGGAAGGUGAAAUCCCUCGGCUUAACCGAGGAACUGCCCUCCAAACUGCUUUGCUUGAGGCCGGGAGAGGUAAGUGGAAUUCCCAGUGUAGCGGUGAAAUGCGUAGAUAUUGGGAGGAACACCAGUGGCGAAGGCGGCUUACUGGACCGGUUCUGACGCUGAGGCGCGAAAGCGUGGGGAGCAAACGGG
rnacentral:rRNA from 1 species